CCGCGGACGUGUUAACACGUCGACUGCCGGACGAUUUAGCGCGGCGUAUUACACGAAACGGAUAAAACUGUAAUAUCCAUGAAUUAUUUCGUUAAGCCGGGUUGUCGUUACUGCGGGUCUAUCUUGCAGGAUGUUACCGGGUUAGGUAUCGUGUUAUUCUCUUUCCUGUUGACGAUGGAGUGCGGAAGGCUACACCGUUAACUGCGAGUGACCGCGAUUUUAGGCAUCGAUGAGAUUAACAGUUCGACUCGUCGUUACUAUUCGAUGAGAGGUAGCAGAAUAUUUCUAUAGACAAACGCCAGGUAAUUGGAUUAACAUGAAAAUGCGAUCUCGGGAACAGCCGAGGCGCUCGCGACCGGUCAGCAACGGUUCGAGGCAAUAAUGGAGCAAUUACAUCGGGAACUCGCGGGGAAGAUUUAUUCAGGGGCGGAAGGAGGCAAAAACGGGGAUGAGUUGCGCUUACGCGGUCCAUUACUGGACUCUAUUUCCCCAGCGAGAGCCGGCGAGCAGUGUUCCCCCCGUUCGCGGGCGCGGGAACGAUCGGAGAAGAGAGAUCCGGCCAGAUACGGCCGGUACGUUUUCUUCUUUUCAUCGAUUCAUACGAUACAUAUCUUCGUGAUAAAUGAACCGCCGCUAUCAGAUUUACUUCUUCAUCGGCGGGGCGUAAUUGCUACAGCUUCCACCGGCCUAUUGAUGAUUAUGUAACUCCGCGUGUCCGUGGAAUGACGACUGAUAGGACUUCAACUUGGGUUGGCGGUUUUGUUACGUCCAUGUUCUUCCUGGAUUUUCUUUCGACUUCGUAUGAGUAAUUGCUCGCUGAUGUAUCUAUUAGCUUUAUAGCCGGAAAAACCUCCAGCGUAACUCGGUGAGUGGUCCACGUUUUUCAAACGGUUACGCGAUAAAUGUCAAUGAUAGUUAACGAAAAGAGAUUUAUUUAGAAAGCCGAUGCGCGUGCGGUGAAUAGCUGAACAGGAUUUUAUGCAAGAUUCAGCGUACCGAUAAAACCAAUUGAGAAUAUAGACGUUCGAUGCUUUCAGCGAGAUCGAGUCGUGUCGCCGGAGAUUACUUUAGAUAAACACAGAUUUCGUUUUUUAUCUUCUCGCACAACCGAAUCGAAGGAUUCGUGUGUCUCCCGUGAAUGUAAGCGUCACACCGAAACGUUUAAUAGCAGCAAAUCGGCCCAUCUGGCGCGUUCAUCCCGCGCGACCGUGGACGUAUCGUUCCGGCUUCACGGGAGUUAGGCGCAAAGGUAAGGCCGACUCUAUUCAAUAACCAUCAAAAGCCGGCGAGCGUCGAUUCUGUAAUGUUAUUACCAUCAUUACCGAUUAAUAACUCAAUUGCCGGAAACUAUAUGUUUACCGUGUUCCCCCGCCGGCCGAGGCGGACGGCUCGCUCGAGGAAUUCCGACCUUUGUCCGAAGAAUUUCGUGCUCUUACGGCCGUGAUUACCGAUUAAUGAUUGAAAUCUUCGACCGGCGCUCGUUUAUUCGCGGCAUUCUAACGGGAGGCCGCAGCAGACAUUCAGAUUUUCACGGAGAGAUCUCAAUCUGGCGAUCAUUUCCAUCGUAAAUCCUUGUCCGGCGAUUUUUUCGAAUGGAAAUGCAGCACUGUUUAUUCAUGCGAUCUCGGCCUAAUGGAAAAACCUGUCUUCGGUACGACAAACCGCUUGUAAAUGGACUGCAAGCGUUUAUGCAGAUUGCCAAUUUUAUGGAUCUAUUAAAAGGAAAAACCAGCGUAAAUCUAUUUCCCGAGGAAAACAAUCGUAAAAAAGAAAUUAUCAUUAUCGCGGAAGGU